rnacentral:rRNA from 1 species
ACGGUUGUCCCGGUUUAAGCGUGUAGGCUGGUUUUCCAGGCAAAUCCGGAAAAUCAAGGCUGAGGCGUGAUGACGAGGCACUACGGUGCUGAAGCAACAAAUGCCCUGCUUCCAGGAAAAGCCUCUAAGCAUCAGGUAACAUCAAAUCGUACCCCAAACCGACACAGGUGGUCAGGUAGAGAAUACCAAGGCGCUUGAGAGAACUCGGGUGAAGGAACUAGGCAAAAUGGUGCCGUAACUUCGGGAGAAGGCACGCUGAUAUGUAGGUGAAGUCCCUCGCGGAUGGAGCUGAAAUCAGUCGAAGAUACCAGCUGGCUGCAACUGUUUAUUAAAAACACAGCACUGUGCAAACACGAAAGUGGACGUAUACGGUGUGACGCCUGCCCGGUGCCGGAAGGUUAAUUGAUGGGGUCAGCGCAAGCGAAGCUCUUGAUCGAAGCCCCGGUAAACGGCGGCCGUAACUAUAACGGUCCUAAGGUAGCGAAAUUCCUUGUCGGGUAAGUUCCGACCUGCACGAAUGGCGUAAUGAUGGCCAGGCUGUCUCCACCCGAGACUCAGUGAAAUUGAACUCGCUGUGAAGAUGCAGUGUACCCGCGGCAAGACGGAAAGACCCCGUGAACCUUUACUAUAGCUUGACACUGAACAUUGAGCCUUGAUGUGUAGGAUAGGUGGGAGGCUUUGAAGUGUGGACGCCAGUCUGCAUGGAGCCGACCUUGAAAUACCACCCUUUAAUGUUUGAUGUUCUAACGUGGACCCGUGAUCCGGGUUGCGGACAGUGUCUGGUGGGUAGUUUGACUGGGGCGGUCUCCUCCUAAAGAGUAACGGAGGAGCACGAAGGUUGGCUAAUCCUGGUCGGACAUCAGGAGGUUAGUGCAAUGGCAUAAGCCAGCUUGACUGCGAGCGUGACGGCGCGAGCAGGUGCGAAAGCAGGUCAUAGUGAUCCGGUGGUUCUGAAUGGAAGGGCCAUCGCUCAACGGAUAAAAGGUACUCCGGGGAUAACAGGCUGAUACCGCCCAAGAGUUCAUAUCGACGGCGGUGUUUGGCACCUCGAUGUCGGCUCAUCACAUCCUGGGGCUGAAGUAGGUCCCAAGGGUAUGGCUGUUCGCCAUUUAAAGUGGUACGCGAGCUGGGUUUAGAACGUCGUGAGACAGUUCGGUCCCUAUCUGCCGUGGGCGCUGGAGAACUGAGGGGGGCUGCUCCUAGUACGAGAGGACCGGAGUGGACGCAUCACUGGUGUUCGGGUUGUCAUGCCAAUGGCACUGCCCGGUAGCUAAAUGCGGAAGAGAUAAGUGCUGAAAGCAUCUAAGCACGAAACUUGCCCCGAGAUGAGUUCUCCCUGACCCUUUAAGGGUCCUGAAGGAACGUUGAAG